ACAGUAUCGAAAGAUACGGUGAGUGUUAUUAACCUUUCUCUCACUAUAGAAUAGGUUCCUGGGGAUUUUAGUUGUUAUAAUAAUGCUCUUUAGUACAAAUUAAUCGCAGGAUCAGCACAUGUGAUGAGUGUUAUUAAUCUUUCUCUCAUUACAUGAGCUAAAUCCCCGGAUUUAUAGUUAUUAUAGCAAUGUUCCUUUGUACAAAGGUAAUCAUAGGAUCAGAACUAAUGAUGAAACUUAUUCUUUAUUAUGAUCAAAGUAUAAAUAAAUUCUAGGUAUAUCAGAGUAAUUAGAAUAACAGAGUUGUUUUUCUAUUAUAAUUUACCUUAUUUGUAUGUAUAUUUUAUUGUUUUACCGGUUUGUUUUCUUUAACUAUCACAGAAUCACUAAACAAAUAACAGUAGAUAUUUUAUCCUUGAGAAAGACACAGGUUGAAAUGUUUGAUAUUAAUAAAGUUUUUUAUGCAUUCUG